rnacentral:tRNA from 1 species
UGUAGCUUAGUGGUAGAGCACUUGCCUAGCAUGUAUGAGGCACUGGGUUUGAUCCUCAGCA